CCUUUGGAGGAAUGUGAGAUUGUUUCCUACCUCCUAGCUAGACUCGACACUGCCUAUGAUCCUCUUAUUACAUCAAUUACAACAAGGGUUGAUCCUAUGACACUUGAUGAUGUCUUUGGCCACUUAUUAACUUAUAAG